UUACAAAACCAGAGGGUUAAGAGAGAAUCCAGGGUUUGAUGUGGGUCAGAGGCUGUGUGGCAGUGGGCCUUGAGGUGCACUUGGAUAGACUACUGGGUGACAGUGGA